rnacentral:rRNA from 1 species
UACGUAGGGUGCGAGCGUUGUCCGGAAUUACUGGGCGUAAAGAGCUCGUAGGUGGUUUGUCGCGUUGUCCGUGAAAACUCACAACUCAAUUGUGGGCGUGCGGGCGAUACGGGCAGACUGGAGUACUGCAGGGGAGACUGGAAUUCCUGGUGUAGCGGUGAAAUGCGCAGAUAUCAGGAGGAACACCAGUGGCGAAGGCGGCACUCUGGGCCGGUACUGACGCUGAGGAGCGAAAGCGUGGGGAGCGAACAGG